UACAGAGGGGGCAAGCGUUAUUCGGAAUUAUUGGGCGUAAAGGGCGCGUAGGCGGCUUUUCAAGUGACGGGUGAAAUCCCUCGGCUUAACCGAGGAACUGCCUGUCAGACUGGAAGGCUUGAGACCGGGAGAGGGAUGCGGAAUUCCAGGUGUAGCGGUGAAAUGCGUAGAUAUCUGGAGGAACACCGGUGGCGAAGGCGGCAUCCUGGACCGGCAUUGACGCUGAGGCGCGAAAGCUAGGGGAGCAAACGGGG
rnacentral:rRNA from 1 species